rnacentral:rRNA from 1 species
UGCUUGCAUCAUGAUUUACAUUUGAGUGAGUGGCGAACUGGUGAGUAACACGUGGGAAACCUGCCCAGAAGCGGGGGAUAACACCUGGAAACAGAUGCUAAUACCGCAUAACAACUUGGACCGCAUGGUCCGAGUUUGAAAGAUGGCUUCGGCUAUCACUUUUGGAUGGUCCCGCGGCGUAUUAGCUAGAUGGUGGGGUAACGGCUCACCAUGGCAAUGAUACGUAGCCGACCUGAGAGGGUAAUCGGCCACAUUGGGACUGAGACACGGCCCAAACUCCUACGGGAGGCAGCAGUAGGGAAUCUUCCACAAUGGACGAAAGUCUGAUGGAGCAACGCCGCGUGAGUGAAGAAGGGUUUCGGCUCGUAAAACUCUGUUGUUAAAGAAGAACAUAUCUGAGAGUAACUGUUCAGGUAUUGACGGUAUUUAACCAGAAAGCCACGGCUAACUACGUGCCAGCAGCCGCGGUAAUACGUAGGUGGCAAGCGUUGUCCGGAUUUAUUGGGCGUAAAGCGAGCGCAGGCGGUUUUUUAAGUCUGAUGUGAAAGCCUUCGGCUCAACCGAAGAAGUGCAUCGGAAACUGGGAAACUUGAGUGCAGAAGAGGACAGUGGAACUCCAUGUGUAGCGGUGAAAUGCGUAGAUAUAUGGAAGAACACCAGUGGCGAAGGCGGCUGUCUGGUCUGUAACUGACGCUGAGGCUCGAAAGUAUGGGUAGCAAACAGGAUUAGAUACCCUGGUAGUCCAUACCGUAAACGAUGAAUGCUAAGUGUUGGAGGGUUUCCGCCCUUCAGUGCUGCAGCUAACGCAUUAAGCAUUCCGCCUGGGGAGUACGGCCGCAAGGCUGAAACUCAAAGGAAUUGACGGGGGCCCGCACAAGCGGUGGAACAUGUGGUUUAAUUCGAAGCUACGCGAAGAACCUUACCAGGUCUU